GGGUAUAGUUUAAAGGUAGAACGGAGGUCUCCAAAACCUUUGGUGUGGGUUCAAUUCCUACUACCC
rnacentral:tRNA from 1 species